UUCGCAGCGCACACGCAGGGAGUUCGCUCCCCGACCACGACUGCGUGGAAAGUCCCCGUGCCCACGGGCAGAGAGUGCCAGCAGGAGACUGCCGCGCCUCGGCAAAGGCGCGUGGGGUGACACCCUCGGUGGAGCCGCCCGUGCCAGGCUGUCGCGCUUCGCAGCAGCACGGCCAUGUCGUGAGCGCCCGCUUGCGGGCGCCAACUGAACGGGGCUCACUCUCC
rnacentral:RNase_MRP_RNA from 1 species